AUGCUGUAUAACUUCAGCAGGUUUGGGGCCGUUAUUAUUGUCUAUGUCCAGCAAUGCCCUUUUAAAUCAUAAUGACAGAUUAAAUACCUCUUUCCAUGUGCAUUAGAGAAAUAAGCAUGCUUAAGGAAAGUACUGUUUAUUACUAGUAUUGUUCCCGAAACUGUUCUUAAAGAUUAUUUUGUUCUCUUAAAAGUACUUAGGUAUUAAUGCUAACUACAGGGAGGAGUUGAUGAUAAAUGUUUGCAGAAACUUAAAAAAUUGUAAGUUUUUACCCAUAUAGUUAAUUUCACUUUAAUAAGCCUUGAGGGGCUAAGUUACUCUGUGGUAAUGAGUUAUAUUUACACUUUACUUUUCUGGAACUCAUCCAAGAAUAAGAAUAAAAAGAAGUACUGCUCACCUACCCUGGCCCCCUGUGGAUGCACUUUUCUUAUGUGAGAAUUCCUGAGGCUGUUAUAUGGAUAGUAAUAAUCCAUUUAUUAGUAACUAACACUCAUUGUCUGGUGUUAGUUCAUAAGUCCUUUGCAGAUGAGAAGUAGAAAAUCAGACGUAAGGAAUGAAACUACGGUGAGAAUAUUGAAGCUGACAGAGAAAUUGACAGGAAAACUAUUAAAAACCACAUAAGAACUGAAAAUGUACAGCAGUCUAGAACUCUACCCACAAUGAUAUAUCUCAAGUCAUCAUAUAUUACAUGCAGUGCAGUAGUUAACAUUCAUAAUGAUGAUUCCGAGGCAUCAAAAUAAUGCUAAAUUAUUUCUAUUCCCUUACUUUUUAGUACUUCUAUUAGUAAUAGCCUAUAUUUGCAUAUGGAUUUUCUAUUUGCAAAGCAUUUUAACUUAUACUUUUUAAUCUUCACAGUAACCUGCGUAAGUUAGGUGAGGCAGAUACUCUUAUUCUCUUACAGAUAAAGAUACAGGUAUGGAGAGGUCACUGAAAGAGCUCACUGCAGUUAAGGGUGAAAUCUUUCGAAUCCAAGUGUCAUUUCAUUGCUCCAAAUUAUUUCUCUAACACGUUACUCUGGGUCCAUUGUUUUUUGCUGUUUUCACUGACACUUGACUGCAUUCCUGCAUCAUUGUAUUACUGUAUGUUUCGCCCAGUAUUUUGCAUUUCUAAGCUCUAUAAUUUUUCAGAAGUAGAAUUAUUACAUAGUCAUGUAAUGAUUCGAAGUUAACUGAAUAUCUGGAAUGGAUCUUCCUAUAGAUAAGAUGGUAAGGAUUAUCACUUUCUCCCAAUUUUAUUAUCUUUGUUACUACAGAAAUCCCAGGCUAUUGAGCAUCUUGUUUUCCUGAAUCCUCAGGCUUGUAAAGAACAGUCAAAUGGGGAAAGAGUCUUUCCUAUCAAAAUAAUCUUGAGCAGUCCUUGAAUUUCUAAAUAAAUGUAGCCUAGAAAAUUAAAAUAUUUAAAUAUAUUACUUGUGUUCCAGUUGGUCAGUUUUUCAAAUAGUUGUUAUGACGUAUGUGCUUUAUUUUGAGGCCAUACCUUUAAGACCCAUUUCCACACAGAAGCUAAUAAACACUGGAAAAUUGGCAGGAGGCAAAGGAAAAAAUAAAGAGGUAAAACCAAUAGAAAAGAAGGUUAAAAAUAGUAAUUGCCCUACUGAGAAAUUUGCACUAGAAAAAGUCUGACAAUAGAGAACAAAGCCUAUAAUAUGGUGACAAAAGAGAAUAGUUAUUAGUUGGGUACAGGAAAAAGUUACCUAAUACCCACUUCAGUUUCACAUUAAUAACCCCAAGGCAUCAGUGUGCUAGGCUAAUGGCACAAGGACUAGCUAAGCUGUCUAGAGGCAAAGGGAGAGGAGG